UACGUAGGGUGCGAGCGUUAUCCGGAUUUACUGGGUUUAAAGGGUGCGUAGGUGGACAUUUAAGUCAGCGGUGAAAUCUCCGGGCUUAACCCGGAAAUUGCCAUUGAUACUAUCUGUCUUGAAUUAUCUGGAGGUGAGCGGAAUAUGUCAUGUAGCGGUGAAAUGCUUAGAUAUGACAUAGAACACCAAUUGCGAAGGCAGCUCACUACGGAUAUAUUGACACUGAGGCACGAAAGCGUGGGGAUCAAACAGG
rnacentral:rRNA from 1 species